UACGUAGGGUGCAAGCGUUUGUCCGGAAUUAUUGGGCGUAAAGAGCUCGUAGGCGGUCUGUCACGUCGGCUGUGAAAACCCGAGGCUCAACCUCGGGCCUGCAGUCGAUACGGGCAGACUAGAGUUCGGUAGGGGAGACUGGAAUUCCUGGUGUAGCGGUGAAAUGCGCAGAUAUCAGGAGGAACACCGGUGGCGAAGGCGGGUCUCUGGGCCGAAACUGACGCUGAGGAGCGAAAGCGUGGGGAGCGAACAGG
rnacentral:rRNA from 1 species